rnacentral:rRNA from 1 species
CGCUCUUUGUUAGUUAGAAAUAAAGAGUCGUACCUGCCCAGUGGAUUAUUUUAACGGCCGCAGUACCCUGACUGUGCUAAGGUAGCAUAAUCAUUUGCCUUUUAAUUGAUGGCUAGAAUGAAUGGUGUGACGAGAAUUUAACUGUCUCUUAUUAUAUUAUUUGGAAAUUAUUUUUUAGGUGAAGAAGCCUAGAUUUAGUUAAAAGACGAAAAGACCCUGUCGAGCUUAAAAACUAAAUUUAAAUUUUUAUCUUGUAGAAUAACAUUGUUUUUGAUUUAAAAUUUUUGUUGGGGCGACAGAAGAACAAAAGAAGCUUCUUUUAAUUUUUUAAACUUAUUAAUUUCUUUUAUCUAUUAUUAAUAAAUUAAAAAAAGUUACCGCAGGGAUAACAGCGUUAUUUUUCCGGAAAGUUCGAAUUAAAGGAAAAGAUUGCGACCUCGAUGUUGGAUUAGAAAACCAAGUAGGUGAAGAAGCUUACUAUAGGAGGUCUGUUCGACCUGUAAUUUUCUACA